CAGCCGCCGCGGGAAUACGUAGGUGGCAAGCGUUGUCCGGAAUUAUUGGGCGUAAAGGGCCCGCAGGCGGUUUCUUAAGUCUGAUGUGAAAGCCCCCGGCUCAACCGGGGAGGGUCAUUGGAAACUGGGAAACUUGAGUGCAGAAGAGGAGAGUGGAAUUCCACGUGUAGCGGUGAAAUGCGUAGAGAUGUGGAGGAACACCAGUGGCGAGGGCGACUCUCUGGUCUGUAACUGACGCUGAGGAGCGAAAGCGUGGAGAGCGAACAGGAUUAGAUACCCCCGUAGUCCCUGUCUCUUAUAC
rnacentral:rRNA from 1 species